rnacentral:lncRNA from 1 species
AUAUUGCUGGGAACCACGAUUUGAGGAGGAAUAUUUUUGAAAGUGCAAUGUCUGGUCCCAAUUACAGCUACAGCCCAAAGUCAAAAGACACACGACACUCAAUCUUAUAAGAUUUUGUGCUGUCUUUGCAAAGUUCCCAAUGAAAGGCUAUGAGCAAAGCUCCAGGGCUCAGUGAGAACAUCUUUGAACAUUUUGCGUGGUAUGUAUUUUGCUUACAAGCUGUACACUCUUGUUCAGGUGUACUUUAGUUCUCUUGCACUGCUGUAUUCCACUACAAAGCUCCAUCAUCUUCUAAGAAAGAUGAGACUUUUGAAUGCUAAUAUUUAUUUUAAAGCUAGAAUACUGAAUGUGCAAUGACCUUCCCAUUUCUUUCAAAUGUCGUGACUUCAAACUGAAACAGUGACACAUACUAAUGAGUAUGUUUACACGGAUGUAUUAAAAACAAGCAUAUUCCUGUGGACUCAAAGUCUGCCCCAUCCCUCAGCUGCCCCAAGCCUCCCCCCGGCUGAGCCAGGGAACCAGAGCAUCAGCAUCUGCCUGACCCCAAGCAAAACACUUGUCCGGUGGUUGCUUCCAAGCAGGGAGAGCAAGCUCCUGCAGGAUGGGAUGCGAGCAUGAAUAGUCACAACAUGCAAAGCCACUUCCUUCAGCAGCAAGGCUGCGUGUGGCACAAGAGCUCACUGAGGCUCCAGCUGGACUCCAGCACUUCAUACCCAACAACUUAAAUGGCCCACAGUGCUGUAAACAAAACUCAUCAGCACACCAGUCUGGUUAUUUUAAGGCAGUCUAAAUGACAGCUAUGUGUAAAUUCAGCAUUUACUAGUUACCCAGAUACACUGAAAACUGGAAAAAAAUUAAGAAGUAUCUCUCAGCGUUAAGCCUUCUGCAUAGUUUUAAGCUUUGCAGCACUGCAGCACUAGCUCUUCUUCUGCUUGUUCUUGGGAAGCAGUUGAACAUUUCCUAGCACGUGAGGCCAACGUGACUUCCUUUUGUUAACUCUCGGACCCAUGAAAGUGCUGCUGGAAAAAAAAGAAAAGAAAAAGGAAAAUAGGGGUUUAAAGAUGCUCUAAACACAGCAAAUAACGAAGGCUGUAUUAAAGCGGUGUAAGAAGUAUGUGGCACAUACACAUAUAUGCGUUACUGGUGAUGGUGAAGAGAAAUACUGAUCUGCUGUCUCAUUCGAAGAAGGUGACAGCACCCAUGAACCACGCCAUCCACCCUGAGCCUGCUGGGAUAGUGCCUCUCCUCCCAUCAACAAGGACCACGAUGGAAGAGGAAGGCGCACCAGCAACCUUUCAAAUUCCUUAUCCAUAAAUAAGAAGAGCCCCUGGCACUGACUAGAUGAUUAUGUUAGAUCAGAAAAGGUCGACUUGAAAGGGAAUCAUCUCCAGCAGCACAGCCACCAAGGAAAAGGACGAGUGGUUUUGGUCAUGGUUACCCAACAAGGAAAGCGCGUGGGACUCCCAUAUUUAAACAGGCUUUUUGCCAGAUGCUCUUCUCAUUUAUGGACAAAGAAUUUUCCACUGGAAACUCAAAGAAGUGUUUUCUUUUUAGUCAUACAGUUAAUUUUAAAGAAAAUGAAAAGUUAAACUAGCCAUAUUUAAAUUAAGCAGCUAAUUUCCAUCAUUCAGCCGCUGAGCUUAAAAUUCCACGUAGUGUUGACAUGAAAGAUACUGCUCAUCUGUCAAUAGUUAUCACUAAUUAAAUGUUUCUUAUAAAUGCACUCUUUUUUUGACUGUUUGCUAGGAUGAAUCUGUCCUGCAAGGACUAUUCAUUGGCUUAAACUGGGAAUCCACAACUGAAACCAACAACAGAAAACCCCAAAUAUAUACCAGAAGAGAUUAACCAGAACAACCCGUGUUCCAGAGCUCGGCUCAGCACCAUGAUGGAAACAGCGUUAACCAUGCCCAGGAAGAUCCCAGCGCUGGUUCAUUCUGUACCUCUGGAGAGGACAGUGUCACCAAACACACAUAUCUGUGUCUGCAUAGCCCUUGCUAGCCACUAUUUUGCUAUUUAAAUUCAAAGCAAAUGCUAAUGCUGAGUUUUGUGACAUCUCCGAGUACAGUGCUGCAUUGCCACCGGCAGUCCCACACUGAACUAAACUACAUGAGCUAAAGGAUGAAAGGAUUCAUAAAUGGAUACAUAGAUGUUUUAAGAGUGUCAUGAUACAAAUUAUUUUUUUCCUUUAAAUUAAGCUCUAAAGCAGCUACUUUCAACUAAAUGCAUGGGAGCUACUGCUCUCUGUAUCCACAAUACUCAACUCUUGUACAUGGACUGUAUCUUAUGUUCUAGGUCAAGAAGAAUUUCCCUAUCUCCAUCCAGCUGUGCAGUUUUAUGGCUGAGCAGAGGAUAAUUAACCUCAGUGGUUUGGUCAUUACGAGCCUCUGGAAUGAUGCUGGAGAAGCACGCUUUUAGAGACAGGAUAAGGUAUGGAAGUGACACAUCGACCAUCCUCCACAGCAAAUGGCUUUGUCCACUGAUGGAUGAAGGACCCUGAGCCGGAUGGACAACUUGUCCGAUGCAGUGUUAUAGCCUAUUAAUCGUCUUUGCUCUUCCCAUCCCAGGGCUUUGCCAGCUCAGAGGCACACAGCAGCCUUACAGUUCUCCAGGCCAGAUGGAGCCUUUGAGGUGUGUCCAUUUGGUAUCAAGCAGAACCGCCUCCUCAGCCACGCACGUCAAUGAACCAGAGAAUGAAAUUAACUCCAAAUGGUCUGCAGAGCACUCCCGAUGGCAAAGCCAGCCAGAUAAAGCAAGGUAAGGGUUUUUUCCAAAAGCUAACUGCAUAAUAUAAAGCUAAAAAUACAUUAAACACUUACUGUUUUUUUCCCUACAAUUAAUUGCUGCACUUUCCCAGAGACAUCAUUUGGCUAGAAAGUCUCUGAAAAAGAGGUGUUUCUUACAAGUUUGUAUUUAUUUAUUUGAGAUCUUCUUGUCAGAUACAAUUCCCACAGUUUAGGAGGAACUGCAUUGAUUGCUUACUAAUGAAUUGUUGAGGUCUAGCUUGAAAUAACCCAUCUAUAGGUUAACAGUAAACCAAUAUAAAGUAAUUUUUUAGAUUCAGUAAAUGAUUUCAAAUAUGAUCAUAUAAUUACUAUACAGAAAGUGUUGUAAGGAAGGAAGCAGACCACAGUGAGCACUGCAGGCACGCUGGGCAAUGAUGCUGGUGUGUGCCAUGGCAAUGGAUGGCAGCCCAGGUCCCCUAAAACCCUGAUGGGUUUGCAUGGCAUCUUCUGAAGCUGAGAAUGAAAAUCAAAGCUGCAUUCAUCCGUACUGCAGAUAUGGCUGCCGAUAUGUUUGCUUUGGCACAGGACAUUCUCUGUCUUACAUCAGUAUUCUCUCCCUUCUAGUAAUUAAAAACCUAAACUUGAUUACUUAUUUAAAUCCAGAGGAUGUUAUCUCAAAGUAUUUCCAAAUGUCCUUGGAGCUCACAACGGCAAAAACUCUCUGUAGCAGCCUUUAUCUCAUAGCAAAAUCCCACUAACAAAAUAGUUAAAUUUGAGUUUAAAUUGCUUGAGGACAACUGAUUUUUCACUUCCAUAAAUACUUUUGCAAUCCUGCCUCUAUUUAUCAGUAUUUAAACCACUUUAGAGAUGACCAUACAAAUAUCAUUUGUACUGUCCUUUUAUCGUAUGCAGAUUUUGUUCUAUCAUGAAGUAUCUGACACUCUCUACCUUUGUUUUGCUGAAUUUAAGAUAGGAUGCAAACAUCAGAAAAAAUUUACACUGAAUUAAAGUAGGAAUUAGUAAGCUGUUUUCCAUGCAAAUUAAAAAAAAAAAAAAAGGAAACUGAAAAAAUGAGGAAGUUAAUUUCAACUUUUAGUAAUCUAAAGCUUUGUAACUACCACUAAGCCAGAGAAGAGAUUGGUCACAAAAAUCUAUUCUAAGAAAUAACUGAUUAAAAUCAAUCUAAAGACCCACCCUGCAAAUACUAUGCCCUUUGUCUUAACUGGAACUGCUCACAUGAUUUAUAGCUGCUUAUGUAAGGUUGGAGAGUGCCUAAAUAAGAUGUUUGUGUAAUACUGGGGCCUGAGAAGGCUGCGAGGUACAAACGGCAACACAGCUGCACCACCUCAUUCGAAUACCCAAACGUCAUCACUCUCACAAGAUACCACCAGGACACCUCAGUGUCACUGCCUCUACGGAUUUCAUUACAGUUACCGUUCCUAUCGAGCCUUUCAGAAACACACAUAUAACUAAUUCUGGGUAAGUAACAUUUUAAGUUGGCAAAAGAGACAGAAUCUGUGCUCAGAACCAGUACUGGUGACUCCAGAGGAGUCUAAAACCAGCCUCAAAUGCCAAUAUAGAAUUUGUAUGAAAUCCAACCAGUAACGUAUCUGAGAAAGCACAUACCUGCACAGGAAUCACUCUACUGAAGAAGUGUCACACUUCACUACAGAGAAAGGUAAUAAUGUCCAAAAAUAUGCUGGUUAAUGAGGUUCCACCGUAUUACGGGGAACUUGUGGAGGAUGCAAGAUAUUCAAAAGGCUAAAAAGGAGAAAUAUAGUAGCUGGGUGUGGGUGAUGGGACAAAGAGGGGCAUAAAACAGACCAAACCAUUUGCUUUUCAUAGAAUGCCCCCCAGGAGGGUCAGCUUUUGCAAGGUCUCAGCUGGAACCCCAGAACAGUGUGUAUAUGGCACAUUGGUUUUCCCCUCAUAAUUCCUUCUCCUCUAAAGGAGGCUAGAAAAGGAAAAUAAUGAGAGGGAUUAGAGGCAUAGGGAACAUGACUUAUAAAGGAAAAUCAGUUGCUGUAGCCUUACUUCCUCUGGAAAAGAUAAGGCCAAGGAGAAAUGGAAAUAGACUUCCAAAGUGUAAAAUGCCCACUUCUCUCCUUAACAGGGUUAUACGUGUCACUCACUUUGCAGUAAAGAAAUAACCACCCUUUUAAUGCUGGCAGUAGUUAAGCAAAUUAACACUAGGAGACUGCGGAAUCCUCAUCAUUGGGUAUCUACAUUGAGCCAUUAAAUAAAGACCUAGCAGCCCCUUUCCCACCAUCAUACGUACAGGACUUGUGAAGACAUCAGACAAAUGAUUGGAAGCCCAGUAAUUUAACAAAACCCAUUUGAGCUCCCAAACUCCAUCUGAUAUUACUUUUAGUAUAGUUAUGAGGAAUACAAAUGACUGCAUCUGUGAAACGUUAGAGAGAAAAAUAUUUUCUUCUUCAUCUGACACCUUUGUGGGUUUGUCUUGACCUUAACUGAAGAGUGCCAGGUAUCAGCCAACACCUUCAGACAAGAACAGACAUACCCUGAAAGUCUGGGGGAUAAAAAGUAGUAUUGCCAAACCCAACUACUCUAGAAAACAUAAUAUAGACCCCCAAAUUAGAUAGAAGAUAUCAUUCUUUGUCUUCUAAAAAUUAUUCUUUGACUUCUAAAAUGAGUGUCCAGCUGGUUUUGUCUAGCUUUCUCUGGAAGUGGAGAACGAUGGCUGCACACUGCAGAUGUGUGCUCACCUGUACUCAUCUCACUGCCACAGCUCCCUUCUCUGGCAGGCAGCCUCCUCACUGCUCCAUCUGGAGCAGAGAGCCCUUCCUAGGGAGCAGCAAUGUUUUGAACCC